GAGUUUGAUCCUGGCUCAGGACGAACGCUGGCGGCAUGCCUAAUACAUGCAAGUCGAGCGGACUUGAAGAGAAGCUUGCUUCUCUGAUGGUUAGCGGCGGACGGGUGAGUAACACGUAGGCAACCUGCCCUCAAGUUUGGGACAACUACCGGAAACGGUAGCUAAUACCGAAUAAUUGUUUUCUUCGCCUGAAGGAAACUGGAAAGACGGAGCAAUCUGUCACUUGGGGAUGGGCCUGCGGCGCAUUAGCUAGUUGGUGGGGUAACGGCUCACC
rnacentral:rRNA from 1 species